UACGUAGGGACCAAGCGUUGUUCGGAUUUACUGGGCGUAAAGGGCGCGUAGGCGGCUUAACAAGUCACUUGUGAAAUCUCCGGGCUUAACUCGGAACGGCCAAGUGAAACUGUCAAGCUAGAGUGCAGAAGGGGCAAUCGGAAUUCUUGGUGUAGCGGUGAAAUGCGUAGAUAUCGAGAGGAACACCUGCGGCGAAGGCGGGUUGCUGGGCUGAUACUGACGCUGAGGCGCGAAAGCGUGGGGAGCGAACAGG
rnacentral:rRNA from 1 species